GCAAUUGACACGCUUAACUGGACCCAAAAUUUGGCAGACACGUAGCUCAUUAAUCAGACAAACAAAUGAUGAAAAGACUAUAUUAUCCCUAGCCAAAUGACCAAAAUGCCCCUGUGAGGAAGCUGGCAGGACAACCUCCACCAGCUUCCCACAGCACUUCUAUAUAUUAGGAUAUUAUAAAAUCACAUUCAAACAUCAUACUUCGUGUACUAAUUUUUAUACAAAGCAACUAAAAAAUUAGCAAUCAUGAUAUUAACUAGUAAUAUUAUCUGGGAAAAAGACCAGCAAAUUUAAAAAUGCCCAUGUUACUAUCUCAACAAAAUUAAACUUUACAAAGACACAAUUAGCAUUGACCUCAAAUCUGUUAGCUAAUAUGGUUCCAAUUCCACUGUCUACAAAGCCAUUUUGUCAGUGUCAGUAAAAAAAAAAGGGAACAGAUAAACAAGUCCUUGACAGUAAAUUUGCACAAUUCCAUCAUGAAGUUCCUUUAAUGGAUAGAAGAUUAUCUUGUCUUCAUUCUUCACUUUUUGAGUCUCUUGUCCCAGUAAUUCCCCUCUCUUUUAUCAACAUAAGACGUGUAUUAGUAAGCUGGCUCUGCUGGAAGCUGGAGCAACUCGCGUAUUCCUUCGCAAACCUGUAUUCGAGUUUUUUUUUUCAUGAAAUAUGCAUCAGAUGUUAGUGUAAUUUAAUCAGGAACAUAAAAGAAAGCUCCGGUUAUCUCUAUCACAACUUCAUAUUAUGUGUAUGUCCUUGAAAACAUUGAACCUUAUGCUUAUUAGGAAAUGAGAAGGGAGAACAGCUAAACCACAUACCAUUUUGAUCUGGGCCUUAAUUGAUGCAAUUAGACGUGUAUAUUCCUCUAUCUGCCUGCACGUUUAAUUGCAAAAGAUUUACAUUUAGUGUAAGGCAAGAAACAUAACUCAGAAUAUUUUCCACUCAAAACAUGGAAAAUAUCAGUCACAAAACAUGAGGAGAAGGUUUCUUCUCUUCCUUGAGUAUGAAAGGUUCAAAAAAACCAACAACUGAACUAGUUGGCUCCAAUACCAAGAAACAUAAAGUGAAAAUAGAGAAGACAGGGGAGCAAAAUAAGCACAAACAUCAGAGCUGAUUAGACACUGAUAUCCAAAUCCUCAUAUUCGGGCUUCCUAUCUUUUAAUUUUAAUCCAUAGCAGUCUGAUUAAAGUUUAUCCGAACUGGGAAACAAAAUCAUGCUUGAGUAAAAUAAUUUGUAGCUACUACUUGAGUUAUGCUGUCAAUGGAUUGUAAUCAAGGUGUUAGCUUUACCAGUACUAAACAAAUCUCAGUUAGAGUUGCCAAUAUUUGCUUGAACAAGGUUUUUAGCUUUUUUCUUCACAGCUUCACUGCUUGAGUUUUUUCAAAACUUACAAGACUGCUAUUUCCUCGUGCGUUCGUGCAUAUUCCUCCAUUUAGCCAGACCCUAAACGACACUAACCUUUCCAACUCUUCGACGAAACGGUUUAACGUAGAGGGAAAAAAUAGGACAGACCCACAAAUUUGACAACCAUAAUUCAUUGCUGAAAUUAUCGGAUGUGAAACCACAUAACAUCAGAUAUAACACAUAGGUCAUAGAUUAGCAGGACACUUCAAAUAACGGAUAAUAAAUUAAGCAAGUUGCAGAAUUAAGAAACCAAAAACAACAAUAUCCAGAUCAACGAAACAACUAAAGUGAUCAGUGAAGAGAACUUACAGAGACUAUGAAAUCGCAAGUCUCGAUGUAGUGAAUUUCUAAGCAAGUUGCACAAAUAAGAAAGUAAAAACAACAAUGUCCAGAUCAAAGAAACAACUGAAGUAAUUAGUGAAAGAACUCACAGAGAAUGUGAAAUGGCAAAGCUUCGAUGUAGGGAAUUUUCCUUCUCUUUACCAAAAGUUUUGAGAUAGAGUAACAUAUACUCUCCUCAGCAAUUGACACGCUUAACUGGACCCAAAAUUUGGCAGACACGUAGCUCAUUAAUCAGACAAACAAAUGAUGAAAAGACUAUAUUAUCCCUAGCCAAAUGACCAAAAUGCCCCUGUGAGGAAGCUGGCAGGACAACCUCCACCAGCUUCCCACAGCACUUCUAUAUAUUAGGAUAUUAUAAAAUCACAUUCAAACAUCAUACUUCGUGUACUAAUUUUUAUACAAAGCAACUAAAAAAUUAGCAAUCAUGAUAUUAAC
rnacentral:lncRNA from 1 species